UGUGCAUACAAUCGAAUCCAUUUCUCAUCAUCCAAAA
rnacentral:sRNA from 1 species